rnacentral:lncRNA from 1 species
GCGCACUCGAUGGUUAAGAUUUGUUGCCUCUUCAUAUAUACUCCCUCUUUCGAAUUAUGAGUCUCUUUGAUUUUUUUUUAUAUAUCGAAUUUGCUAUAUAUCUAGAUAAAUAACAAACUAGAUGUACCAAAAAAAUUAAAAAAAACUUAUAAUUUUGAACGGAGAGAGUAUAACUACUCUCUUUAACCACUUAGAAAUCCUAACUGUAGUUGAUGUGAUGUUUUUUAAUUUUUUAUUUCUAUUGUUUUAAAUUUUUCCAGGGAUUUUGCUCUCCUUUAUUUUUUUAAAAAUUUCUUUCCCCCCGGGAUUUUACUCUUCUUAGAGCAUGUAACACCCUAAAUUUUGUUCUUUUGGAAAUAGAUGAAAAAUAAUUUAAUUUUGAAUUUUUGUGCUCAUGAAACAUAAGAAAAGUAAUAUUUUUCAUUAAAAUAAAAAUUUAAUAUAAGGCUUAGCAACUAUUGUGUGUAAAUCAUGCUGGUGCAUUUUAUUUUUGAGAUGAGUGAUUUUUGACCAAAGUUUGAAAUAUUUCAAACAGAUUUCUAAAUGGAUUUGAAAUAGGCUUUGAAUUGAAGAAAGAGAAAAGAAAAGGAAACCCACACCUCUCCCUCUCUCAGAUUUUGGCCUGAAAGGCCCAGCGAGCGCCCCCAGCUCCCCUCGCGCGGCCCAACUCCCCCUCCUAGCCCAACAGCAGGCGCGU